ACAAUGCAAACCCAAUAAACAAAACCGAAGCCCAUAUAUCCCAAGACAGCAAAACCCAAUUUGAUUAAAAUUUUUAUUAUAUUUUAAUAUUUUGUAAAAGAAAUUAAAAGGAAAAGACAUACUUAGAAUAGACCAAAAAAAUGACCAACGUUUACUCGAGAAAAAAAAAAUCGAUGGCUGGUACAACAAAUCGAGAAAAUUGUCGAUUUCUCUCCGAGCCAAUUCAAGAUGGAUUCAGAUGAUCAAUUUUUAUUUUAUUUUCCGAUCAUGUAAUCGAAUCUACAAGAUGGCCGGUGAACAUGCUCCGAUUUGAAACAUGUUUCUUCUAAAUCCCUAGGUGAUUACUGCCACGGAUAUACAUAUUAACUCACGUACCGGCACUAAUGGCUUAUCUCCCAAGAGCAGACAAAGGAUCCUCAAUUGAAACACGCCAUGCAAACUUGCAAGGUAAAACAUCUCUAUAAGUAUGCAAAAGAAAUAUCUUGCUAGAUAAAAAUUUAGAGGGCUCGUUUAUAAUGAGGAAAAUUGUGGCUGUGGGAAUUGUUGGGUAGGAGAUGGUUAUUUAUAGAGGAGAUUCUUAGGCUAAGGUUUUGGUAGCGUCGGUUUCAGGAUAUAUUGGAGAGCAAGCCGAAAAAUCAUAGAUACGAAUCAAAAAUUAGAAUGAUCCAUGCAUGUUUAAGGGAAGAUUCGAAAUCAUUAUAUAACAAAAACAAUAUUCUUGUUAAUAGAAUGUUCUAGAUGUUUUGGUUUAGGCAAUAUUCUGAUAUUUGAAUAUCUUGAGAAUAUGCUUGUUGUUAGUUUACAAAUCUAAACAAAAUUAAAGCGCAAUUGUUAAUGUGGUUUCCAUUUUUGUAG